rnacentral:rRNA from 1 species
GAUGAACGCUGGCGGUAUGCUUAACACAUGCAAGUCGAACGGUCACUUCGGUGAUAGUGGCGGACGGGUGACGUAACGCGUGAGAAUCUGUCUUCAGGUCGGGGACAACAGUUAGAAAUGACUGCUAAUACCGGAUGUGCCGAAAGGUGAAAGAUUUAUUGCCUGAAAAAGAGCUCGCGUCAGAUUAGCUAGUAGGUGGUGUAAGAGACUACCUAGGCUUUGAUCUGUAGCUGGCCUGGGAGGACGAUCAGCCACACUGGAACUGAGACACGGCCCAGACUCCUACGGGAGGCAGCAGUGGGGGUAAAUUUUCCGCAAUGGGCGAAAGCCUGACGGGGCAAUACCGCGUGAGGGAGGAAGGCUCUUGGGUCGUAAACCUCUUUUCUCAAGGAAGAACGCAAUGACGGUACUUGAGGAAUCAGCAUCGGCUAACUCCGUGCCAGCAGCCGCGGUAAU